rnacentral:lncRNA from 1 species
GAGUUUCCAUCCCUUUCUGGGUGCUGGUCAGAACUCAUAAUUUGGAGCCACACCCAUGAUGUGGCCUAAAGGGGAGGCAGAGGAGACUUGGAUGAGCAGACACAAGACAUCCCAAAAUGUGCUGGACAGGCAGGGGAAGGGAAGUGCUGCCCUUCCUUCUGAUGUGGAACCUGCCCUCCCCACUCCCACAUUCUGGAUGAAUCUCUCGCCUCUCUUGAUC